rnacentral:rRNA from 1 species
AGAGUUUGAUCAUGGCUCAGGACGAACGCUGGCGGCGUGCCUAACACAUGCAAGUCGAGCGAAUGAAGUUCCUUCGGGAACGGAUUUAGCGGCGGACGGGUGAGUAACACGUGGGCAACCUACCUCAUAGAGGGGAAUAGCCUUCCGAAAGGGAGAUUAAUACCGCAUAAGAUUGUAGUACCGCAUGGUACAGCAAUUAAAGGAGCAAUCCACUAUGAGAUGGGCCCGCGGCGCAUUAGCUAGUUGGUGAGGUAACGGCUCACCAAGGCGACGAUGCGUAGCCGACCUGAGAGGGUGAUCGGCCACAUUGGGACUGAGACACGGCCCAGACUCCUACGGGAGGCAGCAGUGGGGAAUAUUGCACAAUGGGGGAAACCCUGAUGCAGCAACGCCGCGUGAGUGAUGACGGCCUUCGGGUUGUAAAGCUCUGUCUUCAGGGACGAUAAUGACGGUACCUGAGGAGGAAGCCACGGCUAACUACGUGCCAGCAGCCGCGGUAAUACGUAGGUGGCGAGCGUUGUCCGGAUUUACUGGGCGUAAAGGGAGCGUAGGCGGAUUUUUAAGUGAGAUGUGAAAUACUCGGGCUUAACCUGAGUGCUGCAUUUCAAACUGGAAGUCUAGAGUGCAGGAGAGGAGAAGGGAAUUCCUAGUGUAGCGGUGAAAUGCGUAGAGAUUAGGAAGAACACCAGUGGCGAAAGCGCUUCUCUGGACUGUAACUGACGCUGAGGCUCGAAAGCGUGGGGAGCAAACAGGAUUAGAUACCCUGUAGUCCACGCCGUAAACGAUGAACACUAGUGUAGGGUUGUCAUGACCUCUGUGCCGCCGCUAACGCAUUAAGUAUUCCGCCUGGGGAGUACGGUCGCAGAUUAAAACUCAAAGGAAUUGACGG